rnacentral:ncRNA from 1 species
GUCUUGUACACACCGCCCGUCACACCAUGGGAGUGGGUUUUACCAGAAGUGGCUAGUCUAACCGCAAGGAGGACGGUCACCACGGUAGGAUUCAUGACUGGGGUGAAGUCGUAACAAGGUAGCCGUAUCGGAAGGUGCGGCUGGAUCACCUCCUUU